UAUUGUUUUAAUUUUAAACAUGUCUCAACUUUGUCACAUUGUAAUAUGUGACAUGUGAGAACCUCACAUGUAACCAUAUCUCCUCUGGUCUGAUUCAUACCCUUUAGGAAAAUUAGUUCUUGCUCAGUUCUACAUUUGAAGUUCUCUAAGUGGAAGGACUUUUAAACUCCUUCCCUUUCUUAUGAAAUUAAAUAUCUAAUUUGUUGUUGAGUCACUAAGUCUUGUCCAACUCUUUGCAACCCCAUGGACUGCAACACAUCAGGCUUUCCUGUCUUUUAAUGUCUCUCAGAGUUUGCUCAAAUUCAUGUCCAUUGAGUUGGUGAUGCUGUUUAACCAUCUAUCUCAUUCUCUUGCCCCCUUCUCCUCCUGCCCUCAGUCUUCUUACCCAGCAUCAGGGUCUUUUCCAAUGAGUCGGCUCUUUGCAUCAGGUGGCCAGAGUAUUGGAACUUCAGCAUCAGUCCUUCCAAUGAAUAUUCAGGGUUGAUUUCCUUUAGGAUUGACUGGUUUGAUCAUCCUUCCAGUCCAAGGGACUCUCAAGAGUCUUCUCCAACACCACAGUUCAAAAGCAUCAAUUCUUCAGUGCUCAGUUUUCUUUAUAGUCCAACUCUCACAUCCAUACAUGACUGCUGGAAAAACCAUAGCCUUGACUGUAUGGACCUUUGUCAGCAAAGUUAUGUCUUCACUUUUUAAUACACUGUCUAGGUUUGCCAUAGCUUUCCUUCCAAGGAAAAAGUAUCUUUUAAUUUCUAAUAACAUUUAAUAUCUAAUAACAUUGCUUAAUUAGCUAGUGAGACAUAUCCAUUGCCUUUUCUUUUUCCUGUUGAGAUAAAAAAUAAUCUAAAAUUGCUACUCAACUGAAAUUUGGGCUGAUUUUGAUAUUGGUGUCCCCAAGGCCCAACAGAAUUGUUGCAAAUUCUUAAAUCACUGUGAUUUGAAUUAGAGAGGAUGCAAGGGAUGAAAGCCCUCAGAGUCUGGGUACACACUGCAUAAGAUAAAGUGGGGAAGACUUAGCUACUUCUGUGACCCAAGUAAAUGGCCACUUCAAAUAAUUCAGACCCCAAGUGGCUAUAGGUUCAUCUUUCUGGUUGGUGAAUUAUAUUUAUUAUAACUUCAUUUUUAGCAUUUCAGUAGUUUUUAAGGACUUUAUUUGUAUUCCUCUCACUCAUCAGUUACAAGGUGUACCUUAGAACCUUGAAGUACACUUUUUCAGGUUACACAGAGGAACUUGGUUCAAAGAUGACUGUACAAAUAGUUUGCUUCAUCACGUUUCCUGUUUAAUUGGAUGAGAAUCACACAUGCACUUAUUCCCUUGUUCUUCGUGUUUAUAGGAAAAACUGUUCUCAGCUGCCUCAUUAUGUAGUGCUGUGCUUGAUCCCCUGCCAAUUGAGAAGAAUUCAACACAUUCUGUCCUUUAACAAAAGCCUGGAAGCAAGCAGUAAGCGGCCUUGAGGAAUACAAUUCUCUAAGGCGUAGUUUCCAUUUUACUUUUAAUCAGGAGGAACAAUAAUUCUCCUAGAGCUGCUGCAUAGUGAUUACUUGAAACUCGACUUGAACUUUAAAGAAUCUUUACAAGGCUGUAUUUUCGUAGCGUAGAAAAGUAGUAUGUUUAAACACCACUGCUAUGUAAAAUAGUAGGCUUCAUUGCCAUGGUCAUUCACAGCAGAUAGGAAAACAUGUCUGUAAUUUGACCCAAUGUUUGGGAUUCAGAUGCUUGGGGUUAACUGUUCUUCAUAUUCGAUAAGGUGCUAGUGGGAGCAGUUUAAGGAUCUAAUAGGUGUAUUUUCAUGAGUUUGUUUCCCAAGAAUCUUACCUUUGCUGAAAGUAUAGGGCUCAUGAAGUUCCUCUGUUCUGAUAACCUGGGGUUUUACAGUGAAACUCUCAAAGUGUGGAGUUGAGUUGAGCAAACAGCACAGAACUGCAUUAUACUUAAAAUCACAAGUGAUCGGAUUUGUCUGGUGUGUCAGUGGAAUGUCCCCAACUUCCUCCUGGACAGGGUACACCUGGGCGCUGUCCUCCCCAGCAGCUCCCAGGUCCUUCAGUUUUUGUAAACAGACCUUCCCUUCCGGGGGUGAUUUCUUAUUAGGAAUUACUUAGGACCCCUGAUGGCCAAAAAGAGUUAUGCCCAUUCCUAAAAACCUGGCAUACUAGGAAUAACUUACAUACCAGGUAAAAUCUAAAACCUUCACUGUCCCUGUGCAUUAAUAAGAUUUAAUGGUUAGGCUUGUGCUUUUCAUACUAAAGGGCUUGCUCCCCUCAUCAGGAUUCUGGCAAAGUUCUCAGGUGGAUCUAGCCGUGGGCCGUGCCCACUUUUUGGUUUCCAAGAGAGCCGGGGUUCACCCCCGGAAAGCCCCAGGCUUCCUUGGUCGUAAUGAUUUUGAGGAAAUUGUAAACAUUCUCUGUACUGGCCAGGCGAACCCAGUGGUUGUGAGCAUGCGUGGGCGUUGGGGGCCCAGUGCAUGCUGGGUGUAAAGAUGGCUCCCACUGCCGCGUGCCCCUCGAAGCCCACCACCCCAGAAGCAAAGGAUGGGUGUUCACCUGCCCGGGUUCCUGUGGAGAGCCAGCAGAGUAAGGAAGGUGAGAGCUAGGCGCCUCGAGCACAAAUUGGGGGUGAUUGGGACCUCGGCUGCAGUUGCCGCCCGUCUCAGCCACAGUCUUCGCCCCUUGCUCAGUAUCCUGGCCUCAGAGCUUUCUUCAUGCUCGCAUCUGCCGCCACAUGAUGCACAAGCAAAUACACGUUCCCUUUUACAAGAUGCAUAUUUUUUGGAUCCGUGAUACCACUCUCCCGCUUCUCUAAAACCUGGAAUUCAGGGUAAUUCUAGACAGUGGAAACACCCCAAGAUAUGUGUUUAGGAUAUUUAGAGUGGUUACAAAUAUCCUUUGUUUCAGGGUUUGCCUGAUGAAGUACUCUGCUGCUGCUGCUAAGUCGCUUCAGUCGUGUCCGACUCUGCGACCCCAUAGGCGGCAGCCCACCAGGCUCCCCAGCCCCUGGGAUUCUCCAGGCAAGAACACUGGAGUGGGUUGCCAUUUCCUUCUCCAAUGCAUGAAAGUCAAAAGUGAAAGUGAAGUCGCUCAGUCGUGUCCGACCCUUAGAGACCCAUGAACUGCAGCCUACCAGGCUCCUCCGUCCAUGGGAUUUUCCAGGGGCUGGUAGUCGGACGAGGAAGUCUGUUUUGUCCACCCGCUGCACUGAUGGGCCCUGGGAACCAGCAUCCAGGAGGAUGACAGCCAGGCUGGCGGGCGCUCUGGAAGCUCUGACAAGAAGCUCUGGAGGCCCCAGGCUCUGGCCUUGCUGGGCUUUAGAAGAAGCAGGUGUGCGUGUCCCAGACCACUGCCUCCUGGCUCAGGCCAGGAAGCAGAAACUAUAGAGGUAGAAUGUUUCUGUCACUCGUAGAACUUUCUAGAGUUGCCUCAUGAUAAACGGGGUGCCUCCUGUGGUUUUGAGCGCUCGGCUCUGAGGAUCACCCCAAAGCUGCCCUCUGCAGCUGUGUCUCGUGAGUAUGAUGGAGUUAGCCAGGGGGGUCUUGGAUGGUGUGCAGAUACUGUCACAGGCUCCAGAGCUUGGAGGUUCUGUGAACAGUUUAGUUUAAAAAAAAAAAAAAGGAGGGGGAAUGUUUGUGCUUCAGCUUUCACGUUGCUUUGGGGGAGAAGGCCUCUGUUCCUCUCGUGUGCUGCUCCCAUCCUCCCUGCCCGCCACCUGCUCACCACCUCCUGACUGUGGCCGCUGGCCCGAGGCACAGUCAGCAUGAGCAGAACCUUCAUAAACAGACAAAUCUCUAGAGACUUCCCUAAAACCGUAAUUGUCAACUAGACAGCGAUUCUUGCUCUUUCUGUAUUUUUCGUUGUCAAUCUCUCAGUAUCUCUGCAGAGUUAAGAAAGCUAAUAAGUCAAAAUCGUAUUCUCUUAAGCAGGGCUUAGGUGACCUAUGGCCUGGGAUGCCAUCGAGGGGACCGUGCAGUGGGAAGAGUUGGGUUGGCCGACCUCUUCCAGCACCUUCUGACUCCAGGAAUGGGUCCACUCACUAGUGGGUCACUUUGUCAUCCCUUGGGAAGCGCCUCCAGAGGACCUGCCUCCUCCCAGGCUCUGUCUGUCCCUCUUCCAUGAAAGCCAUGCAGCGGGGGCUCCACUCCCUCUGUGUCCUUCCCGAUGCCACCUGCCCCAAAGCGCAGGAACGGAGCAGAGGCUGGGCCAGGCACCCAAGCCCAGGUCGUUGGGAGGGUGCUGUCCAUGUUGUUCUCCAGAUCUGUAUCUUCUGCCCAUGCCCUUGGUCAUCUUCACUCACUAAUAAUAAUCCUUGGUUUGACCCAGUGUUGAUUUAUCUCCUGUGCACCAUUGUGCCCACAUGGGCUGCGGGCAGGAUCUCCGAGGACGCAGGCCCUUCCCACAACUUCUUCCUGGGCAGUCGAAGAACUUUAAUCAAGGUAGAAGGAGGUUAUUUUGGUCAUGUUCUCAAGUAUACCCUUAGUCAUGUACUUUUGCAAUCGCAUCUCCACCCUGCCCUCUAUUCUCAUCCCAUAGCCUUUCCCAGCCUGAUUUUUUUAGCUGCUUGAUUUAAGUAUCCAAGAAAAGGGUGGGGGGUGGGGGCGGGG
ensembl:lncRNA